AGCCGCCAGAGGAAUAAGAGGUCCGGACCCUAUUCUCCGGCAUCUUCAAGGGAAGACUGGAGCUCAGCAACUAUUUUCUUGCUACACAAAUACUCAGAUUAUUUCCUAUUCCCCAGCUCAAAACCAGGGUCAAGGUGUGAAAUGUGAGAACAGCUUACAUAUGUUGAUGAAGUGGACCUGACUUAUGAUAUCUAGCUAGGAGUGUUGUUGAAGACCAUGGAAGAUUCAUGUUUACUUCGAAGACAACAGUGCCAAGUGUUUUCCGGAAAAUGACCACAACAAUCCACACAGGAUCUGUCUCCUAACGCUUUUGUGACAUUUGGAAGUGGGUGCUUCACAACCAGAGAGGUGGACAGGGUGGAGGAGUCUACUGGUGAUCUGCUUUACUCGCCUAGGCUCAGGAGGCCUCCAGAGAGGAGCCCGGAGGCCUGGCACAAAGGCAGGAGCUCCGAGUAUCUUCCAGUGCUACAAGAUUGAAAACUUCUGUCUGCCACGGAAAAGACUCGACUUCAUAAAGGGCUGUAUACCAAGGAUGGUUUCAACGGAAGAUGUUCACUAGAGAUGAAAGCAACAUCUGACAACAUGGUUGGCAAUGCCAAAUUCGAUGCCCUCAGUCUGCUUCAGAAACAAUCUCCAUGAAAAAUAACCAGUGAACCGAACGCCAGGACUCAGACGGUAUUUCCCGAAGGAUCCGGCUUUCCCAGCAUGCAGAGGGUUGGCUCUACUGGGUGACUGAUACACAACCUAGGGCUUCUCACACUACUUUCUGAGGCCACCCUCCACUCCAAGGGCAGUCAAUACCCUUCCAUGCCUGCAAUGAGGACUCACUGGCCAAGCUAAUUCCAAAGCACUGAACGAAUUAGUGUUUCCAAGUAAAAGCAAAACAAGUUUACCUACUAUGUGACUUCCCAGAGUAUUUCAAACCAAAUCGCCCCGUGAAGCUCUGUGUGUUCGGCUGGGGACGAGACAUUUCCAAACGCACGGGAUCAAGGCAUCCCGCGGUGAUAUUCGUGGACGCAUGCUCUGUAGAGCGGGCUCUGGUAAAGAUGAGUGUCUUUUUGUCUCACCGGGUCUUCCCCAUACCUUGCAUGGAGGACAACUUCUCAUUCGUCCAGAUUUUUCUAGUUGGGGACUGAAAGGCCCACGCUACCAAAAGUUUGGAGGUCAGACGUCAGCUCACAUCACUCCUCGAGGGUGUGCAGUCACUAUGGCCGCCGCGCCUCUAGUUCACUGGGGGCAGGACAGACAAGGCAGGCCACAGGCAGACACUCUUCAAGAAGGAUGGGGAUCGACUACCUGGGAGGCAGGCAGAGGUGGCUUCCAGGCUGCUUGUUACGACCACACGGCCCACGUGAGGCUGGUGAGAAACCGCAUUUGACUUUUGAUAUUACAAAAGCGGACUGUGAAAUGAGUCCCUCCCCUCCCCCCCCAACAGGAGGCUGUGAUGUUUGGGAAGGGAAGCCCUGUUAAAACCCUCAGAAUAGCCCCUGCAUUCACCCACGCCCGCCCCACACAGCUUUCAAACACUGACCACCACCAGCACCACCGUCAGGAGUCAUCUCUAGAUAAAGGGGAAAAAUUAUCAUUACAUUAAAGCAAAAACAUAUUUGGAAGUGCCGCAGAUGACUUAAUUUGGCCUGUGACAAAAGGGAAAGGGACAGCUAUGCAGUCCAAGAGGAGAGAGGUGCUUCCUAGAGAGCUUCACCCUCUCCAUUAUACCUUAGCCGGCAGCCUGGGAGGGGAGCGGGCUUCUCUGUGGCGUGGCUCAUCAGCAAAAGGAGAACUCUGACAUUGGUUAAAAUGUUGACGUGACAGGCGACGCGAAGGUGCCACACUGUUGUCAAAUUGCAGUGGGAGCCCUGCAGCCUGUGUCUUGAUUCCUAUAGUCUCCCCUCCCCGCCACCGCCACCACCCCUAAGUGCAGUGUACUUUAAGCUGCUACAAAAGGGAAUCUUUGUCGAGCAAAAUGCGCUGGGAAAGGACAGAUAACUGUUCCGAGGUCUGAGCCAAGCUAUGACUUCCUUCACAAAGUGUUUGCCUGCGUUUAGCGUUUAUGCAUACCCAAAUCCAGUGUUUGCCUUCAUCUCAAGCCUUUUGAUUCCGGGUGGCUGUGUUAUUUAUGUUCUCUCUUAUCCUCAAAUUCUCCAUUGGAUCUGUUUCCUCUGCCUGCGCUGACGGCCCCUCUGUUGGGAAAAACACAAUAAAACAAAAAUAUACUAGAAGCCACGGGGAACUCUUUAAC